CGUAACACGUGAGCAACCUGCCUAGGUGUGGGGGAUAGCCGGCCCAACGGCCGGGUAAUACCGCAUACGCUCAACACGAGGCAUUUCGAGUUGAGGAAACCUUCGGGGCACUAUGAGGGGCUCGCGGCCUAUCAGCUAGUUGGUGAGGUAAUGGCUCACCAAGGCUACGACGGGUAGCUGGUCUGAGAGGAUGGCCAGCCACAUUGGGACUGAGAAACGGCCCAG
rnacentral:rRNA from 1 species